rnacentral:lncRNA from 1 species
GCACUUAAAAACGUGAAUGCCAUGACUCUGGGAAGAUGGGUCAAGAACAGGGACUUCAUUUACAGAAGAAUCAGAUAAAUUGAAUGGUACAAAACAUCUUUUUGUGACGAAUCUUGAUGUUCUUGAUCCUAGAGUUUCUUGAACAAGGUUUGAGCUGAGUCUUUUGAAAACCCUCAUAGCAGCCUCCCCUCUAGCUCUUUGAAACCCUCAAAUCAUCAAUUAUCAAACGCCACUAGUGCUUGCUCUUCCUUCUCUCAUUUGCCAUUCUUCAGAUGCGCUGAGCAAUCAGGUUUGAGAUGGCUGUGCACAGUGCGGAGUGAUGCAGUUAAUAUUUUAAUUUAUUUAAUUAAUAUUUUUUUCCAUUUUGAAAAAAAUUUACACAAAACUCAAUCUCAAUCCUAUAUUAUUUUAAUACUAUAAUACCUGAGUCUACCCAGGUAUGCAGUUAACCAAUGGAAUUAUUUUAGGACCAAUCAGAAGUCAUUACUAAAUUUUAGACCAAUCUUCUACCACUAUAUACAGUUAACCAAUCAAGGAAUUAUUAAGUCAUUCCUAAAUUUUAGACCAAUCAUAUUCAUUCUUCAACUUUCUUUCAACCACCUUAUGCAGUUAAUCAAUCAGAAAAAACGAAUUAUUUUAGCACUAAUAUUAUUUAUUAUACAAUAUAAUUAAUCAACUCCUUUUAAUUACCAUGCUAGGGAUCCGAAAAGGUUCCCGAAUUUGUUCCAAAUGACAAGUGGCGCGGUUUAAUAUUUUAAGAUACGCAUCCAAUCAACUUUUGUCAACUAAACAUCCAACCAAUUUGGGGUUCCUAGCAUUUAACAUAAAACUCUAUCAUCCUAAUACUAUCAGAGGGACUUCAAAAUCGAAAAAAGCACGAAACUUAUCAAUUAAAACCUGGAAAUUUGUUGGCACUAUAAACUUUCCACACAAAUGAAAUCAAAAAUACAGACACACAUAUGGACUGAUUAAAAGAAAAUAUAAAGGGGGGAAAGAUACAAACUGGGCACUUAAAAACGUGAAUGCCAUGACUCUGGGAAGAUGGGUCAAGAACAGGGACUUCAUUUACAGAAGAAUCAGAUAAAUUGAAUGGUACAAAACAUCUUUUUGUGACGAAUCUUGAUGUUCUUGAUCCUAGAGUUUCUUGAACAAGGUUUGAGCUGAGUCUUUUGAAAACCCUCAUAGCAGCCUCCCCUCUAGCUCUUUGAAACCCUCAAAUCAUCAAUUAUCAAAC